rnacentral:tRNA from 1 species
GAAUAGCCGCCGGGUUGAACGGGUAUCAUUGAUGUUGAUAAAUACGGAGUAUUUACUUCGCUAUUCUA